rnacentral:rRNA from 1 species
AUUGAACGCUGGUGGCAGGCUUAACACAUGCAAGUCGAACGGUAACAGGAAUUAGCUUGCUAAUUUGCUGACGAGUGGCGGACGGGUGAGUAAUGCUUGGGAAUCUGGCUUAUGGAGGGGGAUAACUACGGGAAACUGUAGCUAAUACCGCGUAAAAUCUUCGGAUUAAAGGGUGGGACUUUCGAGCCACCUGCCAUAAGAUGAGCCCAAGUGGGAUUAGGUAGUUGGUUAGGUAAAGGCUGACCAAGCCGACGAUCUCUAGCUGGUCUGAGAGGAUGACCAGCCACACUGGAACUGAGACACGGUCCAGACUCCUACGGGAGGCAGCAGUGGGGAAUAUUGCACAAUGGGGGGAACCCUGAUGCAGCCAUGCCGCGUGAAUGAAGAAGGCCUUCGGGUUGUAAAGUUCUUUCGGUGACGAGGAAGGUUGAUAGGUUAAUAGCCUAUCAAAUUGACGCUAAUCACAGAAGAAGCACCGGCUAACUCCGUG